AGGCGAAAAGAACCCCGGCGAGGGGAGUGAAAAAGAACCUGAAACCGUGUACGUACAAGCAGUGGGAGCACAGGUUUACCUGUGUGACUGCGUACCUUUUGUAUAAUGGGUCAGCGACUUAUAUUCUGUAGCAAGGUUAACCGAAUAGGGGAGCCGGAGGGAAACCGAGUCUUAAUUGGGCGUUAAGUUGCAGGGUAUAGACCCGAAACCCGGUGAUCUAGCCAUGGGCAGGUUGAAGGUUGGGUAACACUAACUGGAGGACCGAACCGACUAAUGUUGAAAAAUUAGCGGAUGACCUGUGGCUGGGGGUGAAAGGCCAAUCAAACCGGGAGAUAGCUGGUUCUCCCCGAAAGCUAUUUAGGUAGCGCCUCGUGAAUUCAUCUCCGGGGGUAGAGCACUGUUUCGGCUAGGGGGCCAUCCCGGCUUACCAACCCGAUGCAAACUGCGAAUACCGGAGAAUGUUAUCACGGGAGACACACGGCGGGUGCUAACGUCCGUCGUGAAGAGGGAAACAACCCAGACCGCCAGCUAAGGUCCCAAAGUCAUGGUUAAGUGGGAAACGAUGUGGGAAGGCCCAGACAGCCAGGAUGUUGGCUUAGAAGCAGCCAUCAUUUAAAGAAAGCGUAAUAGCUCACUGGUCGAGUCGGCCUGCGCGGAAGAUGUAACGGGGCUAAACCAUGCACCGAAGCUGCGGCAGCGAACGUAUCACUUAAAGCGAUUCAGCGGGUUACGAUUGACGGAGCG
rnacentral:rRNA from 1 species